rnacentral:pre_miRNA from 1 species
AAUACCUCAGUCUUUUCGGAUGUUCUAUAAAUUCACCUGGAAAUACUGAGGUUGCGU